UACACAUGCAAGUCGAGCGAGAAAGGUCUUCGGACUGAGUACAGCGGCGGACGGGUGAGUAACGCGUAGGAAUCUACCCAGUAGUGGGGGACAACUUGGGGAAACUCAAGCUAAUACCGCAUACGCCCUAUGGGGGAAAGCGGGGGAUCUUCGGACCUCGCGCUAUUGGAUGAGCCUGCGUCGGAUUAGCUAGUUGGUGGGGUAAAAGCCUACCAAGGCGACGAUCCGUAGCUGGUCUGAGAGGACGAUCAGCCACACUGGGACUGAGACACGGCCCAGACUCCUACGGGAGGCAGCAGUGGGGAAUAUUGGACAAUGGGCGAAAGCCUGAUCCAGCAAUGCCGCGUGAGUGAUGAAGGCCUUAGGGCUGUAAAGCUCUUUUACCAGGGAUGAUAAUGACAGUACCUGGAGAAUAAGCUCCGGCUAACUCCGU
rnacentral:rRNA from 1 species